GACAGAGGGGGCAAGCGUUGCUCGGAAUCACUGGGCGUAAAGAGCGUGUAGGCGGCCAGGUAGGUCUGCUGUGAAAACUCGAGGCUCAACCUCGAGACGUCGGCGGAAACCAUCUGGCUAGAGUCCGGAAGAGGAGAGUGGAAUUCCUGGUGUAGCGGCGAAAUGCGCAGAUAUCAGGAAGAACACCCGUGGCGAAGGCGGCUCUCUGGGACGGUACUGACGCUGAGACGCGAAAGCGUGGGGAGCGAACAGG
rnacentral:rRNA from 1 species